UUGAGGAUUAGAACGAAGAGCGGUUGGAUAGGCGCUGAAAAUUGAUUUUAUUUUAGUACAGAGAGAAAGACAGAGAAAGAGAGGAUGAAAGAAAAAAAGAUUAGUUGUACCAUGGUGGUACAUAAGUGCUGCGUAAAUAGAUGCAUUCUUUUUAAAAUGUA
rnacentral:ribozyme from 1 species